GCGCUCUUAGUUCAGCUCGGUAGAACGCAGGUCUCCAAAACCUGAUGUCGUAGGUUCAAAUCCUACAGGGCGUG
rnacentral:tRNA from 44 species